rnacentral:misc_RNA from 1 species
GAUGAAGAACGCAGCGAAAUGUGAUAAGUAAUGUGAAUUGCAGAAUUCAGUGAAUCAUCGAAUCUUUGAACGCACAUUGCGCCCCCUGGUAUUCCGGGGGGCAUGCCUGUUCGAGCGUCAUUUCACCACUCAAGCCUCGCUUGGUAUUGGGCAACGCGGUCCGCCGCGUGCCUCAAAUCGACCGGCUGGGUCUUCUGUCCCCUAAGCGUUGUGGAAACUAUUCGCUAAAGGGUGUUCGGGAGGCUACGCCGUAAAACAACCCCAUUUCUAAGGUUGACCUCGGAUCAGGUAGGGAUACCCGCUGAACUUAAGCAUAUCAAUAAGCGGAGGA